CCCACCUUUCACCUGCUUGGCUGCAAACACUCAGUCCCCCAUAUGUGCAUGCAUUGCCCCACCAGCCAGCAGCUGGUCCAGCCCCAGCUACCUUUUGUCUUUCUGUUUUAAAUCUCAGUCUGUUUUUGAGGAUGAAAAAUUAUCCUCUGCUUCAAUUUCCUCUUGCUGGUGCUGGAAUUAAUUGUUAGUUGCAUUCCUUGUGGGGAAUGUAAUGAAAAUAUGACUAUAAUAUACUUAUAGUGUGAUUUGUGGUUACCAGUGGAAAUAUUUAAUGAUCUUUUUGUACACAUGGAAUAAUUGCUUCUUCUGUAUCACAAUAAUGGACUGCAAUACAAUUACACUCUUGUUCUUCUUCGUAUAAGAAAUAAGCACAUGAGUGGAACAGAAUCUGAAAAGCAGAAUGCCCCUCAUAUCUCUCCAAUAUCCAUCUGCUCACUGGAGAUUCUGCACUCUUUUGAAUAACACAGACUCUUAUAAUCAACGUGAUUGUGCAGCUUUAAGAUAAACAAUUCAUAAGAUAGCUAAAGUUCAUUUUCAUAACAAAACUAGGCAUUAAGGAGUCAUUCCUGAGGCUUUCCCUAAAGGUAAAGGCUCAGAGGAAUGCAAUACAUUGCAGAUAAAUCCUCCUCAUAUAAAGCAAUAUAUCCUCAGUUGCACGGAGAUGAGCAACACUCACUUUCUCUAACAAACUUCUGCUGUGAGCUGCCUCUGAACAAGGUGUUCCUGCCUUAUGAGAGCUCAUUGCCCAUAUGUUAAACCACAGACUUUUCAUUUUUUCAUUUGGCAGGAGAAGGAAGGGGUUAAAAGGCAAGGAGCAAUCAUGUGCUGGCUUUAGGAAAAAGCAAGUUGUGCAGAAAGUUGAUGAGAAGUGAAAAUCGCUGAGGAAGUGAUUUUUUAGGGAAGGAAAUGUGAUGUUUGCAGACAGGAGCACUCAGUCUCCUUCUCCUGCUGUGGAGUGUGGGUGAGAGCAGUCCCAUGGGCGGGCCUGGUAGGGCUGGAGAUGUUAUUCUGUGCCACAGAGAUGGAAAAAGGAUCAGAGAAAGGGUCCCAGGUGUAGAAAGGAAGGACGGAAUGCGCCCCAAUGUUGGAUUCCUUGGCACAACAUUUGCUAGUGCAACCCUACUGAGCUGCCAAGCACCAUGACUUGCACGUAUGUCACCCCUCUGGCACAAUUACAGCUGUGUGACUCAUUCUAAGGCAUCCUCAGAGCAAGGAUUGUGGAGAACACUUCUUCAAUUUGGGGAAUGGCUGAAGAUAGAAUGGAGUGCAGUUAGCACAUCAAUUAAAAAGCAGCUGGCAACACACAGUACAACAAACAGAGGGUAAGUUAAGCUGUCACCUUACAGUAAGCUGGUGGUCAGAGAGCCCUUUGAUGCCAACCUUCCACCCUUUCAGCGUUUGGUGAGAGCGAUGUAUCAGCCAUGAGGCGUUUGCACUGCCCUGCUGCUGGGACCCAUCACUCUAACAGGUUUAGUGGCCGACAUUUUUGUGUUGCUAUGUUGCUGUGAUGCAUUGCUUUAUGACUUUUAAGCUGCAGUUGUGCAUUUCUUCAUAAAAUAUUGACUUCAAGCCUGGGACAGUUCUCUUAAAACAGGAGAUGUGGAUGCUGCCUCAGCCUGCCUUGUGCCAUUCAGCACUGGCUGGAUCUGGGCAAGCAGGCAGUGCUGCAAACCAGGAGCAGCAGUGCUUUGUUCCCAUCCCACGCUGGUACAAGUGACUAUGUAGGUCAGUGAGCAGGGAUGAAUCAUGUCAUGUGGCCUGUACAAAUGCAGAACCAUGUUCUUUGUGUAGAGACACAUGCGGAUUCCUAGGGAGAGCUGCUGGGGGCUGGGGCUCACAGGGUGUUCUCCAUCUAAGUGCAUAGCAUGAAGAGAGUUGCAGAAUGGUUUGGUUGGAUGGGACCUCAAUGCCCAUCCAGUGCCAACCCCUGUUUUGGGCAAGGCUGCCUCUCCACAGAAUACAUUGCCCAAAACCCCCUCUGGCCUAGCCUGAUGUGUGGCCCUACGAGUCUCUUGCCAGGGGCAGAUAGAAAGCAGGAUCUGCUCCCAAACAACAUAAGCACUCUUCUUAAGUGCUUUUUCCCUGUUAAUUGCUUUAUAACCAGUUAUGAUUACCCAGUAAUGAUUCCUGGGUCUAAUGAUAGGAAGUAUUCAUUAGCACAUGGGCAAGGGAGCAGUUCCCCAGAGCACAUGCAUUUAGCAAAGGGGAAUAUUUGAGACUUGCAAGUUUCCAGAACAGGAAACUGAAAUUUUAGGAUCUAAUACAGCAACCAAUUCUCCAUUACCAUCAGCUGCCACAGUCUAGAGGAAGACACAGAGGGAAUCAAGUAUGCAUAAUGCAAACUCACAUAAUUAUAACACUAUCAACCUGACUUUAGCCACUUGGCUUGGAAACAAUUGCCCCCAAAUAUUGGCCUUUGACUGUAGAAAAGAAAUACUCUCGGGAGAAACUUUCAUUUAGAUAGCAAAUUAGAGGCAUAAAUUAAAAAAGAAAAGCAAAUCACUUAGAAAGUAGCUACCCCUGGUGUAAUGCAACGAAUAUCAGCAAGCUCUGCUUCAGGGCUGAGAAUGCUGUGUGCUAAAUCAGCAUCAAAAUGGAGCAUGGGGGGCUACUGUCGUGUUGAUGGUUUUCCUAGAAUGAUCUAAGUCUAAAACCUCUGAAAUUAACAGUCAAAUAAACAGAAAAGGGCACAGAAGGUGCUUCCAAUCUGUUCUUAAAACACAAAAUCGAAGUCAUGCCUUUAAGCACGCCCUUCCUCCCGUGUGAUGCUGGCCAGACAGAUGGACUUACACUGCACUUCCAGAUCAAUGCAUUUAAAGAGUCCAAAAUCAGGAGGUUUUACAAAAAAGUAGCCAGCCUCUGCCUGACCUCAACAACUAAGUGUUGUCCAGUUGUCUGUAGCUCAAGCAUUGCGAGCACCUUUUCUAGUCCAAGUAACAGGAGGAUGAUUUGUGGGACUGCAGGCAAUUAUUCCAGUCUUCAGUUUCAAGAUGCUGUUGACUUUUACCUCUGACACACUGGAAAGAUUGAAGUGUUUCACAAUAGCAGCGUCCCAGGAAAACAUUUCUCAGUCAGACUGAUGGGGACACCCAUUCCAAGAGGAGAAGAUGUUCAAUUGUGUAAAUGCAGAGAAAAUGAGGAAAAGAAAGGUAUUGUCUGCCAUUAUUAUUAGCUGAAGACCCAGAAGAAUUUCUGCAGAUGGCAGAUAGCAUUGCCAGUUUCCAGAACCUAGUGGCUUUUCUUCAGAUUUGUUUUGUCUUCGGGGAAACGUGCAACAUUUAGCAAUUAGAUGUUGAUCCAACUAUGAAACAAGGUCAAGGGAAUCUUUUACAGUAUUACAGCUAUUUUUUCUCCCUAACAAACUGAUUUUAGAGAGUAUGUCUGUGCGCCUUGUGCUGUGGCAACAGUGGGGGAAAAAGUUUAUCACUGCAAAGUUCACAGCUUAAAAUGCAGAAAAAGCCUUUACCAGAUCCCAGAGAAAUAGGGGAUGUGGAUAACGGUGGGGCUUCCCAGAGAGCCCAGGCAGUAGGGGAGAGGUGCUGCUCUUGCUUCAUGAAUUCCUAAUAAUUUCACUGGGAUUCUGCAGAUAAACUUCCUGCUUGAGUUCAUCCUCCCAAAGACAGAAGGCUGCUGGUGGUGAUACUCUGCAACUUAGGGAUGUUUUUGUUACGCCUUACUCCUGCAUGGUUUCAUAGAUUAGGCAGUACAGUCAGUGACUGAGAGCUCUUCUUUUACACUGCUACUUCAUUUCAUAUAAUCUCACUUAGAAUCAUAGAAUCAUGGAGUAGGAAAAGACCACUAAGAUCACCCAGUCCAACCAUCGACCCAUCCCCACCAUGCCACUAAACCACGUCCCUCAGUGCCACAUCUCCAUUGUUCUGGAGUACACCCAGGGUUGGGGACUCCACCACCUCCCUGGCAGCCUGUGCCACUGCAUCACCACUCUUUGGCAGAAUAAAUUGUUCCUAAUAUCCAGCCUGGACCUCCCCUGAAGCAACUUGAGGCCAUUACCUCUUGUCACACUCGACCAUUCUUCUUUCCUUUGCACAACAAUAAUAAUAGUAGUAUAAUGAUAGUAAUAAUAAUAAUAAUAAAAAAUCCCAUUUCCCUGCUGUCAAGAAGGAUGCAAGACUUAAACAUAUGUCCACCACACUGCAAUAAAAAUUGAUUUGAACUGAGCUGAAAGCCGAUAAGUAAUAAGGAUUUGUUGGCUUGCAUCGGUUUUUGUCUGACAGCAACAGAAGAUAGCAUCAAGCAGCAUGUGCUGAAAUACACUGUUACAAACUGCAUUGGAGGAAAAAUGAAGUGGUGGUCAGUGAGGGUGCACCUAGGACCCUGCAGAUUGGGAUGGGGCUGGGAUGCCUGCAGGGCAGGGAUGGAAAGGAAGGGUGGAAACGGAGAGAAACUGAGAGCUGAGGAGAAAGGUGAACUUCUGCCUACAUCUCCAGCCUCCUGCCCACGCACUGGGAGCCCUGCAGAACCACAAGGCAUGUUGGCAUGGGCAAAGCCCAAGGAUUUGAACCGAGGAACCAUAUUCUGUUGUCAGCAGCUUUUCUUUGGACUCAGGAACUCCGCAGUGAGUUUUGCAAUCUGAUUCUGCAGGGAGAAGCUCACUUUGGUAGGUCAGGGGUGGGCUCCUCAAGGGCCUGAAGAUGUCACAUCAUGCCAUGUCCAACACUGCUGAAGUCCACAUCUGGAUCAGGUUUUAGCUCCCACAGAAGAUAAAAAAACAGUAAACGCUUUGAGCUCUGCAGUCACAGAUUUCUUCCCCCCCUGUUACCACAACAUAAGGCACAUUUGCAUGUUCUCUAAAACUAGGUAUUUAGGAAUUAGAGAGAAAAAAAAAACAAAAUAGAAAGGAAAACCCCAUGAUCUCCCCAGUGCUGUGGUGAUGUUCUGAGCCCAGCACAUAUGAUAACAAUGCAUAUCUUCCAGUCAACUUGUUCUCUCUCCCCGUGCCCACACUGCGUCCAAGGGGAAUGUCCUGUAUGUGGUGGAUGAGUGCUCUAUGGUCCCAUAUGUGUGCUGGAUUGGGCUACAUCUCAUCUAUGCAGCUGGAUGGGAGCUGCAUUUAUGGAAGCUUCUCCAUCCUCUUCCCACAGGAAGCAGGGACAACAGCUGUGGCAAAAGGGUAAAGCCAUGUUAAUCUUGGGUUUAUGAUUGCUUUUUAUUUUCUGUUCUCUCUGCACACCAAAGCUCAUAAAAAUGCUAUGGGAAUCCGUGUAUUAUCUUGGAAAUGGAGUGUUGGAUCAACCCCUGAAUUGUCUUAUUGUGUUCAAGACCAUGGCCAACAAACCAAUGGCUUCCUCAGCGCUCAGCUGCUGUCAUUCCUGUGAUCACAGCCUGCAUCAUCCUGUCCUUGGAUUUAUCUCAUUGCUCCCCAGCUGUGCUGUGUGUGGCUGUGUCCCAUCACACUUGUUCUUUGUGGAGCAACCUCCUGGGAGCCUUCCUUAUGUACAUCUUGGGGAACCACCAGACUACCGCUGCCCAGAGGUAGACUUUCUGGUGGAACAGCGUAGAACAAUACAAUCACUAAAUCAUUAAGUCUGAAAAAGAUCUCUAAGAUUAUCUAGUCCAACCAUCAGCCCAUUGCCACCAUGCCCAUUAUCCAUGUCCCUCAGUGCCACCACGUCCUUGGGCAGCAUAUUCUAGUGCAUUACCACUCUUCCAGAGAAGAGUUUUUUCCUAAUAUCCAAAUGGAACCUCCCCAGAUGCAACUUAAGGCCAUUACUUCUUAUUCUAGUUUGUUGAACACUUUUUUUUUUUUUAAACACUUUAAAAACACUUCUGUGAAGAUCUGAGUUAUCUUUUGUGGUCUGUUGGAGCCCUCUGCCUUGGUUUUGCUCGUUCCCAUGUUUGCUUCAUUUUUGCAGUUGGACAUACAUCAGUUUAUUAACAAACUCAUAUGGACAACUUAGCAUUCAGGAGCUGAUGUUGCUGAUUCUUUCCUAAUUUUUACAAAAGUAGCCAAUGUGGUUUUGUAAUCUUAAGCAUCUGUUCCAGAUGGCUUGGCUGGCUCAGUUAAUACUAUAUUACAAAUGUGUGUAGUGUUUUUUCUAAUGUACAGAGACUUGAUCAACUGGAGUCAUGGCAAAAAAUCUCAGCACAGAAAUGCCUUAGGAGCAUAUUCUCUUUUAAAGCAAAUGUAAUAUGGACUAAUAUUGAUGAGACUGCUCUGUACCAAUGAAGGUCAGGAGAAGGAUUUUGUGCUGGCAGCAGUGAUGCGCUCGGGAAGACAAGGAAGCUGUCAGACAAACUGUGUUCUAAAAGGUGCUGGUUACCAAGUGGAAUUUCACCAGUUUGGGCAAGUGUUGGGCUGGGCUCCUCCAGGACACAGUCUUGCAGUGUGGCCCAAGUAUUUUCUUUUUGCCUUUCCAGAGUGAAGUGUUUGGUUUUUUUUUUCUGGGUGAGUUCCCAUUUCAGCUCUUAACAAUUUCAAGUGGCACAAAGCAAAGUGUCAAAUAAAACUGGAAUGUUUCUGUGCGUCACAGUCCAAAUUUUGAAUAACAAACUCCAACACAAAAACCUUACCCCAUCUCAGCAUCCUCGCCCCAGCUCAACGUCCUCACCCCAUCUCAGCAUCCUCAUCCAGACUCAGUAUCCUCACCCCAGUGUGCCCACAGCCAUCACUGCUCCCGCUGGGAGCUGGAAGCUGCUCCGUGCUGCCUGCUCAUUUGUCCUAUUCUCUGGGCUUGGCAGGUGGCAUUUUUGCUCAGUGAUUCAUUCCCUGGCAUAUGCAUUUAUCUGGGCUGACAUUUUAAUCAUGCAAAUAAGGAUCUCCUUAAUGAAGAAAAAAAUUAAUUUCACAACUGUUGCUACAAACACAGUGACAGUCCUGCUAAUGUCAUUACAUUCAUAAUACAAUCAGUGGCUUUUCCAUAAUUACUAUAAACUGGUGCACUUAGCAGCAGAGUAAAGGUUACACAAAGAGCUGCACGACUCCUCUUGUUCACUCUGGUUUUAUCAAGAAUGUUUGGCACUCCUCUUAUGCCCCUUUGAAAUCUUUUGGUUAUCGCUGCCUCAUUGCUUGUACUGCAGAUGGCUUUGCCUUUGUCGGAGGCACAGACAAAAUAAGUGGCACAGAGACAACUCCUCCAUGACCUUUAUUGCUCCUUGUCUUUCAGAUCCCAGCGUGCAGAGUAAACAAGGUGACUCAUUCUCUUCUGGUAAAUAGCUGCCUCCCAAGGUUUUGCUGCUGACAGGAUUUUUUGUUUUUUUAACUGCACCCAAAGAGCAGAGGGAUGUGAGCUAUGAACCACAUAGGUAAACUCUGCCUCUGAGUCCUUAUAGGCUCAGUAGCCAUAAGGAGAAAAAGCAUUUUAUAGUCAAAAAGCAGUGAGGAUAAAUGAUUUCCUAAUGGGAAAGUGCCUUCUCUCUUCCCUUUUUCCUUAGAGAUGCUGUGGGUGAGACCUUAAUCCCAGAGACUGGAGGGAUUGGAACCAAUUGCAAACAGUGUCCAUCAGCCUCAAGUGUUUUAGGGCUGGGAUUUCACCUUCUUGUUUGAAAACUUAUUCCAAAAUCAAGCUAUCGCUGUUAAGAUUGGGGCCACUUUUCACAGACAUUUGAGGUUGUUCCUUUAAGGUACAGUAUCUAAAAGGGGGCAAUAAGAAAGAAGGGGACAGACUCUUUAGCAGGGUCUGUUGUGGUAGGACAAGGGGAAAUGGUUUCAAAUUAUUAAAAGGGAGACUUAGAUUGGAUAUAAGGAAAAUGUUUUUUAUGAAAAGGGUGGUGAAACAGUGGAACAGGUUGCCCAGAGAGACUGUGGGUGUCCCAUCCAUGGAGACAUUCAAGGUCAGGCUGGAUGGUGUUCUGAGCACCUGGUGGAGCUGUAGGUGUGUCCCUGUUCAUCGCAGGGGAGUUAGACUAGAUGACCUUUAAAGGUUCCUUCCAACUCAAAAGAUUCUAUGACACUGUUUUAUGACACUUCACAUGGUAAUGUCAGCCUUUCUCUUUCAUUUUCACCAGAAUGGGAAGAGUUCUCCUGGUGGCAGAAAUGCAGGAUAUACAUUGUUCAUCUGGCAGAGCUGUCAGGGACUGCAAGUUUGCUGCAAGACCUUUGGAAUUUCACAACAGCAAAAGAAAAAAUCACAGAAUGGCCAGGGUUGGAAGGGACCUCAAGGAUCAUGAAUCUCCAACUCCCUGCCACAUGCAGGGCCACCAACCUCCCCAUUUAACACCAGACCAGGCUGCCCAAGGCCCCAUCCAACCUGGCCUUGAACACCUCCAGGGACAGAGCAUCCACAGCUCCCUGGGCAGCUGUUCCAGCACCUCACCACUCUCUCUGUAAAGAACUUCUCCAUUGUUUAAGGAAAAACAGCAUUGAGCUAUUUACACAUGUGUUGAAGUAUGUACAUCAUGCUGACAAGACAAUGGACUGGAUCCUGGAGAAGAUGGAUUCCUGAAAACUGGAGAGAAUUCAUGGAGCCAUUAGUGAAUCUGUAGGUAAUACAAGUGUUUCAAGUGAGACUCAGAAAUUACGUAGGUGUCCAAAUCCAAAACCGUGAUUCUGACUGCCCUCCUCAGCAUUUGGGUAAAGAGCAUUUUUGUGUCUUCUAAAGUUGUUUACUAUUUUACUUUAAACCUCGCUGUCCUGAGGUGAGAACAGGAGAAUGACUGUUGGGCAAAGCAUCACCCAGGCCUGUAUCCCAUCUCCAGUGCUGGCCAACAGCAAAUGCCUGAGAGAGCAGGACAAGUGGUGAUAUUUCCCAAAAAACACCUUGCUAUGACUCUGGACCUUCCUAAGCUGAAGGAGUGAUUUUGUGCCAAAUGACCUGUAUGGGAUUCUUCUGCCACACUUGUGUCUGCUGGCCCUUGGGAACGCCUGGUACCCACCUCAUCCUCUGACCAACCCCAGCUUAAUAACCUGCUGCACAAAUAAUGACCUUCUCAUACCCUGCUGUCUGCUCAUGCACACCCCUGCCGUGGGUUACCACUCAUCACUGACCUCAGCCUGGACAUGCAACAUUGACUGCAACCCUCUGGCUACAACCACCCAACCAAUUCUUUGUCUGCCUUGCACAAGUCCAGAUAAACAACAUCAGCUGCCCUUCCUUUGUCCACCAAUGCCAUCACUCCAUCAUAGAAGGCGUGUCAGAAGUGGGAACAUCUAACAUCAGCAGGAUGGGGCUUUUCACAACAUCUCUAAGCGAUUCCUUUUGCAAUGUGUCUGAUAAAGGAACUAGCAGUUGUGCAACAUCUUGCUGAUUGAUGAGCAGAGCAGAGCAGAACAUGGAACAUAUCACAUGGGGUGUUGCCCUUCUGUAUCUUGUUUUAUGAUAAGGAACAAUCUGCGUAGUUCUACAGAAAGCCAAACGUGCUUAUCUUUGGGGUGAUGCUCAAGGCUGUGCAUCUUGAAUCAGGUUCUGUGUCAGGUUCUGGAUCUUGCUGCACAGAUAGCUAUGUAUUCACGCAGAACAUGCACAGAGUACAAUUAAUUUUCUUUUUUUAUUUACUCAUAUCAUUAUCAAAAUACCUCAGAACCUCUGUCAAAAACACAGAGUUUGUAGUUCUUGCUGCUGCAUAUACAGAGAUGACGUAAUUUGCCAGCAGCUUGUGGUUUCAGAUUAAGAAGAACUGAUAUGCAGAUGAGCAAAUACAAAGAAACAGCUUUAGCAAAUGCCUAGGUAAAACAGAGCCAGAGACUACUUACAAAUGCUGCCCUCCUCCCCAUGCAGAAGAACCCUCCACUCCACUUCAUUUGCAGAGCCAGCUGAAGUUGCUAAGAAACAAUGCUCUUACCCAGCAUGUGCCUUGCUCAGAGCACCAUCAGUGAGGACAAGGUGAUGACAGCUUUGACAUGCAAUAUUCGCAGCUGUGGUGCAGAAGGAAUGCAGUGUUGACACCCAAGAGAGCUCGUGGCUCACCAUGCUGGGAUGAAUCCUGGCCUGCCCACAGACCUGAAGCACAUGGGAAGAUGCUGUGCUCCCUUCUGCUUUCUUAUUCCAUGCUGCUGCAAUGGCCACAUCUCCCACUUGUAAUGCUAAGACCUUCCCUUAAGGGUAGCACAAAACAACAAGUUCCUCUACACUCACUUCCAUUCCCUUCUUGCCUUUCCGUUCCUCUGCUUCUCCAAAGAAAACUGCAAGUCUUCACAUUCCUUCAUGAGACAUCAGUCACCCCAUGGUGACUGAUCAUUAGGUGACCUCAUCAUUAGACUUUGUUUUCAAUCUGUGCUGCCUCUGAUCCAAGGCUGUAAGUUGAUGUUAGACACCUGGAACUAUGGUCAAGCAAGGAGCCUGGAGCUGCCAACCAAAAACAAUGAAUUUUAUUACGGCGUGUGACCACUUACUGAUGGUCCCCUCCAGCAAAGUCCUGUUUUUUUUUUCUUUCCCACCUGUAUUUUGGGUUGAUCCUAAUGCUAUCCUGAAGCCCCAAACCAAUAGGCAUUUGUCCUGGAAAUGUCAGUGUUCAGUGUCUUUGCUCUCUGUAAUAACUGUGACCUGUGCAUAGCUCUGAAGUCAGAUCUCCUCCCAUAGGAUGUAGAGAAUCUUCACUUCAUCCCUUGACAGGGUACCCAAUGGUGGCAAUCCCAUAAAUCCUUCCUUCAUCCUCCAGGAAGGGACCCUACUGCCAAAUGAAAAACCUGCGGUGAGGUGUCACAUAUGGGCGUCUCCAUGGGAGUCGUAGCUCCUGUUUCUGUCAAUAGAUUCAAUCAACAGAGCAAUGUGUGUGCUGGCUUGCUUCAGAGUGGACUGCAAUGCUCCCCAGAGCCCACUGACUCCAGACAGUGCUGACAUGUAAGUUUAGGUGUCUUAAUUUGCAGUGUGAAUCAUAUCCACAGCAGCGCUUCUGCUGUGAUCUUCUGGCCGUAGUUAUUCAUCCUCGCCCACCUGCUAGAUAAAACAGCAGUGUUUUUGUAGAUUUAAAUAUAUGCUGGUAGAUUCUCAGUUGUUUAUUUUAAAUAAUACAUUACAUCCAGAUCUGGAGCGAUUCUAAGCUAGCAAGUAUCCCUCUAAAUCAAGUGGCACUUCCUGGAUAUCUUUAAACACCCAGAAGUGCCAGGCCAUGACAGAAGAUAAAGAUAAGCUACAAACUUUUUCUGGUGAGCUGCAGCACUGUGGUCUCCAGCAGCUGAGCUUACCAUGGGCUGACCCCUUUCUCAUCAUGAUUUGCUCUUGUGCUUGUUCUUCAUUAACAUCUUUCGUAAACCUUUUGAUUUGUUGAAAGCGAUCAUUUGUUUUCAGGCUGGGAGCACUGCUAGAUGUGGCCAAUAGUGGAGCAGUGCUUCAGAGCUCUUCUAACUUGCAAAGUCCAGAUGAUGGAUGUAAUCAGCAGCACCCCACAAGACUGUAGGGGUACUCAGGUGCCUUCCAUCCACCUGAAAGGAACAGCUGGAAUGAAGGGGCUAUUUUAAAUCAGGCCUUCCAAUGCUCUUUGUUCUUCUUUCAGUGGUGCUGUUCUGCACAGGGCAUGGCCAGUGAGCAGGGUAGGUGGCUGGACCAGACAGCUGGUGUAAUACUGUAUCUUUCAUGGGCUGACAGUAUUUUCACAGCCUUGCUGAAGGUGGAGGGAGAUAGUUUGUCAUUUCUGUGACUACUUCUGGAGCUGACGAGGAGAUUAACCUGUAACAAAGCUUUGUUUUGAUGGACCAAUACUGUGGUUAAAUAAAUCUAUUGCAAGUUGCUUGGGCUGAUGAAGUUGCCUUGUGAUUAGAUUAACUGCUGAUUAGAUUUUGAUGGGACCUGGAAAGAGUGUGAGUUGUAGGGUGCAUUUUAAAAACACUGUGCAAGGAAUUAAUUCUCUGUUCUCACUCUUCUAUUCUGUUCUAUCCUAGCCCUUAAUUCUCUAUUCUUUGCUUUAAAAACCUGCCCUAAUGACUGCAUAGUGAAUUGAUUAACAGGCUAAUGCUUAUUCUUAUUCACAUAAAGAGUGGUACUGUGUUGGUUUUCUCAACAUGAGGAGACAACCGCACCCUUGCAGGGUGUGUGUACAAGUCUUAAGGCAUGCUUUACCUGCCAGGUGAGCCUGCAAACCUCAUCUGACAGAUAACAGCAUCAGCAGUACCAGUGAAAAGAGACAAAAUGGCCAAAGUACGAAGAAAUGAUGGGCACAAACAUUCAGCAGCUCUGCGGUCUUGUGUGGGAGGAAAUCUUCCAGAGGGCUGAAGCUGUGUGAGUGACAUAUACAUGACACAAGCAGUCUUAAAAUCAGCUUUUCUGGUCCAGAAGACCAGAGUGGCUGGGUUUGCUCUCAGAAAGUGUUGCUGCAUUGUAGGAGUGGUUUCACAUAGAUGCAUGGGAGGAUGGACCUUGGGGAACACAGAAGCAGAGGCCAGCUGCAGCACUGAAAUCUGAUGCAGCAGUUAAUAAAUCAGUAACUUUCUCCACCAGUGACUAGAACACCAAGGUGGAGAUAGGGCCAAGGCAGAGCUUUCCUACCCUCAAUCCCACACCCUCUUCUGUUUCCCCUGCCUACAUCAAAGGGAGCAAAACUUGGUUUCUCUCUAGCUCAGCCUGGCUCCAUCCCUUGCAGCCUUGGCUGCAUCCCAGCAGGACGAGCAUUGCACUGUCUGCAUAAGAACCAGAGGCUGGAUGGAAGGCACGAGCGAUUCCCUUUCAUCAAAUGAUGAAUGGUGGCUGUCACUGCCUCCAUCGAUAGCAGCUCUCUGUAGCUGUCAGACAUGCACCAUUUUGUAAACCUGAUCGUGUUUACAUUAGCAGUGUUUUAUGAGCCUCAUCACAUUGCAAUGUAAAUAUUUCUGCAGCAGCUGCUCCCUGAGGAGUGACGUGGUGGGUUGGUGGUGAACAAACACCAGCCACAGACUUCAGUACAUGCACAUCCUCCAGGAAGGAGCCAGAAAACACAAGUGCACCAGAAAUUAGAUGAAGAAGCUUGAAGUCUUUGGUAAGAAAUUUCAGCCAUCUCGAAUGUUAGAAUAGGCAGAGGUUUCAUACUAGUCUAUCUUUUCUCUUAUGAAAAUAGCACGUCACUUAGAAAAGGAGGCUGGCCAUCUGGCUAUGAGAUUUUGUCUGAGACGCUUCACUUGCAUGUUGAUCAUGAAGCACUGAGCUUGUGUCACCUGCUGUACAGGUAUGACUAUCCUGCUAUGACAUAUUCGACUUCCACUGCAAUUAGUUUUUGCACGCACCUCUCCUUUGGGUGUGACGGUGGGGUUUGUAAUGGGGAGCAGCCUUGGUACAGACACUCUCUGGUGUCCUCUCCAGCACGAUGCUGGCACACCAAGGGAAAAAGCAAAAUGAGCAUUCAGAGCAAAUCCUAGUUUGGCCAUCAUGA